rnacentral:lncRNA from 1 species
CCUGCCUCUCAGGAAGAACAAUUGAACUGUCACCCGAUUAUAAACAGUUCAUUCUCCCAAAAUCCCAAGAGAAAGAGGGGGAAGAAAAAGGCCAACAGAGAAAAAGGUCAGUGACAAGGACAUUUUACUAAAUAAGAAAAAGAUUUAAAAGAAAAGUCAGCCACCAUCCACUUGGGUGGUAUAUGUGAUUAUCAAAUUGAGUAUGACUUCAGGUGACACAUUGGCAGUAAUUUAGAUGGUUUGAAUAGAAAUAUAUAAAAUAAGUUUUAAG